rnacentral:lncRNA from 1 species
UAACACCUAGUAGUAUAUAGUGACAAUCCAGUAAAAUGAAAGUAUGAACUAUUAGAAAAUCCACUUUAUGAUUUUGUACGUAUAGUUUAAAACUUUUUCUAAAUGUCUAUGCAGCAGAAAUAAAUAAAUUAAAAUAAUUUUAAUUUAUUCACAUACCAGAUCAAAUCUGAAAACUUUAGUAAGGAUCUUGAUACAAAUAUAUAACCACAAUUUGAAAUUUAAAAUAGAAAAACAAACCGUUAGAAAAACAAACAG